rnacentral:lncRNA from 1 species
AAAAUCUUUCAGACCAUUAAUAUAAUUUGCUUAGUAAUUUAAGAAUACAUACCGCUACCACAAGUAUUUAUGAGAAGGAUUUUGAUUUUUGAGAAAGAGGUUAAAUUCAAAAAGUAUGUAUAUAUGUCUUUAAAGCUCUGAUGAUUGAUCAGCAAAUUAAAGAGGGGAAGUCUCUUUUGAAGUUUUUUCUUUCCUGUGUAAUUUGGAUCGAGAAUAGAAGAAGAAGAAGAAGAAUAAACAGCAGAAGGGUCAUGAGGAGGAUGAGAGCUAGCUUUGUGUUUGUUUUUCAAGGAACUGAUGAUGGUGAUAUGGGAUGAUGAACUUGAAUUAGGGUUUCACUAGUAUGGAGCAGAGGAGAUAGAAAAAUAGAAAGGGAGAGAAAGGAGAAGGUUGGUC